AACGAACGCUAGCGGCAGGCUUAACACAUGCAAGUCGAACGCCCCGCAAGGGGAGUGGCAGACGGGUGAGUAACGCGUGGGAAUCUACCCAGUUCUACGGAACAACUGAGGGAAACAUCAGCUAAUACCGUAUACGCCCAACGGGGGUAAGAUUUAUCGGAAUUGGAUGAGCCCGCGUUGAAUUAGCUAGUUGGUGAGGUAGCGGCUCACCAAGGCGACGAUCCAUAGCUGGUCUGAGAGGAUGAUCAGCCACACUGGGACUGAGACACGGCCCAGACUCCUACGGGAGGCAGCGGUGGGGAAUAUCGGACAAUGGGCGCAAGCCUGAUCCAGCCAUGCCGCGUGAGUGAUGAAGGCCUUAGGGUUUUAAAGCUCUUUCAGUGGGGACGAUAAUGACGGUACCCACAGAAGAAGCCCCGGCUAACUUCGUGCCAGCCGCCGCGGUAAUAC
rnacentral:rRNA from 1 species